AAUAAAUAGAGGAUCGGAGAUCGGAGAUAUGAUUUAGUUUCGACUUCACUCUUGAGUGUUUCAAUUGCCACGGUGCUUCCACGUCCUAUUGAAUUUGUCUGUUUCAAAAAAAUAAAGAUACUAUGAAUCGACCUAACUCGUAUAUCAGCGUCGAUGCUAAAGAAGAAAUCGUAAUCUCUGGUAUUGCUGGCCGAUUUCCUAAUAGCGACAAUUUAAAAGAAUUUCAAGAAAAUCUUUUUAACAAGGCGGAUCUUGGUUCGAGCGAUCAUGGACGAUGGAAUGAUUGUAAUAAUUUUUUUUUAACAUUAAGGAGGUUGAUUGUUCAAAUCAAUAUGAUAAGAAUUAGUUCAAAUUUAUGGAGGAUAUUUGUCUAUAUGGGAAUCUGUCGUCCAUGCCAAAGUUGAAGACAAUUGUCUGCAUGGUUGUCGAGUAAUUAAUUAUU